rnacentral:lncRNA from 1 species
AAGGAAAGGCGGCCCUGGAGCGCCUAGCGGAGAGCAAAGAAAGGUCGAUGAUGGAAAUCGACCGCGUGGUGGUGCUAAUACCCUCAGGAUGCGAGGCUGUCGAGGCUGUCUCCUACCAGACAGAAACCGAGGUCCAAGGAAGAGGAGGGGAGAGUUUCGGAGCCAAAUGGUUAUCCUCCAACUAGACUUUACACCCGCCCCCACCAGCUGCCCCAGUCUUAACGGACUUUGAUGUGUCUGAGCUUUAAGAAUCCUCAUUCUACUUUGUAACAAACCCUAGCAACUUCCUCAUGUAAGACCAAGUGCCAGUGAGCAAGGAGCAGCUGCUGCAGCCAUCACCAACAGAGGAGCAUCUUCAUCCAUUAACCCUCAGCGUGCCUACUAGCAACUUCCUCAUGUAAGACCAAGUGCCAGUGAGCAAGGAGCAGCUGCUGCAGCCAUCACCAACAGAGGAGCAUCUUCAUCCAUUAACCCUCAGCGUGCCUACUGUGUGACUGUGCCUGAUACAGAGAUGGCAUCGAUCCUUAGGACUUGGAAAAGGCUGAAAAUGAAGGAAACGAAGUACAUGAAAGAGCCGAGGCUGGCAGAGCCACUGGAGAAAAGGAUGUGAGGUUGACCCUGAGCCAUACAAGCCUUCACACCAGCUCAAUCACAUCAUGGGUUUGGCAGGCUUUUAUCUAUACUCCCGUCCCAUCAAGAUACCAUCAGGUGACAAACACCCAGUUAGGGCAGUGCCAGCGGCAGCUGUCCUGAACCAGCCUUACCCUUCAUUUGAUACCAGUCACUAGGGGCAUUGUGGGAUCAGUGUCUCCCCAGUUUCCCACUGACUAAUAAAACUUAAAUCCUUUAGGAUGAAAACAGAGGGAGGUCCUUUAAGGUGGGUGCAAAGAGGAGGGUAGGUGAUACUGAGAUCAGACUCUCAAGGCUUCAGCAAAAGCUGUUGGUGUGUUCAUGGGGGAUGAGCAUGGAUCCUUUAUCUGGGGCUUUUGGGAGAAAGACCUAAAGAAAGACAUGUCAUUUUAAAGUGUGAAGAUUUGGGGUUCCAACCUCAUCCAAGAACCCAUCUGAGAAUUUCUACUGCUGUGAUAAAACAUUAUGACGAAAAGCAACUUUAGAAGGGAAAUGUUUACUUCGGUUUACAGUUUACAGCUUACAGCUUACAGUCCAUCGUCUAGGAAAGUCAAGGAAGGAACCUGAAGGCAGGAACUGACUCCUUGUGUGUGGAGAGGGAAAAAAAAAAAGUAUGUUUAGAGGCUGGAGAGACAGCUCAGUAGGUAAGAGCACUGACUGCUCUUCCGAAGGUCCUGAGUUCAAAUCCCAGCAACUACACAGUGCCUCACAACCAUCCGUAAUGAGAUCUGACGCCCUUUUCUGGUGUGUCUAAAGACAGCUACAGUGUACUUACAUAUAAUAAUCAAAAAAUCUUUGGGCUGGAGCAAGUGAGGCCAGAGCGAGCAGAGGUCUUGAGUUCAAUUCCCAGCAACCAUAUGAUGGCUCACAACCAUAUGUACAGCUGCAGUGUACUCAUAUACAUAAAAUAAAUAAAUCUUUUUUUAAAAA